UACGGGGGGGCGAAGCGUUGUUCGGAAUUACUGGGCGUAAAGGGCUCGUAGGCGGCCAACUAAGUCGGAUGUGAAAUCCCCAGGCUUAACCUGGGAACUGCAUCCGAUACUGGAUGGCUUGAAUUCGGGAGAGGGAUGCAGAAUUCCAGGUGUAGCGGUGAAAUGCGUAGAUAUCGUGGAGGAAUACCGGUGGCGAAGGCGGCAUCCUGGACCGACAUUGACGCUGAGGAGCGAAAGCUAGGGGAGCAAACGGG
rnacentral:rRNA from 1 species